AGUUAUUGCUGUUACAAAAUGGGAAUGAACAAAAGGAGGAAAAAGAGUCAUGCCUGUGGAUUAUGGACAUGGGUAAUACAUCUUUGACCACUGAAAGCCAGUGAGCAAAUCUACUCAGCAACACAGAUUCACUGUAAAUUCAUCACACCUGUCGUCCACUCUCUCCACCAACUUCCCAUAGAAUAUCCAGACAAAUUCAGCAUCUCUGUCCUUCCAAAUGCCCACUGCCCUGGGCUCCAGGAUGGGGACCAUGACUGACUACUCUGCACUUCAGCCCAAUGGAGCUGCAAAGGUGGAUGGACAUUGGAAAUGUGUGCUGUGCCCCCAGGGAACGUUUGAAGCAUGCACAGUAUUGAAAGAUGCAAGUCGGAAGAAUGUCUUGGGUUGUGCCAAUAAGAAGAAAGUAGGCAAGGCCUUGUAGUGUCUGCUGUGUUCCAGUGGCUGAGAACAUGGCCCACACAUUACUCCUGCCUCCUACAGUCCCAAGGAGUGAGAGACUCUGGGAGUAAAUCCAUUGAAAAAUAAUGUCAUGGAACCUUCUGACUACAUUUAGUAGCAAGCAAUAUAAAGAUGAUUAUACUACAAUCAACAUGCCACUGUGGGAACCAGAAGCAAUUAUCUCAGUAUUUUUUUUUUACCCUCAACCCACUGAGCUCUGAAAAAAUAUGUCAGUGAGUGGGUGCACCUACCCUGAAAAAAAAAAGGCAAACCAAAACACGGAAGCAAGUCUCAGAGUCCGGGUCAACUGGCUCAGGCUCACAGGGCUUGUGCUUCAGGGCUAAAAAUAGCAGUGUAGAUCUUCCUGCUUGGGUUUGAGCCUGGGCUUUGAAACCUGGUGAGGAGGGAAGGUCUCGGAACCUAGACUCCAGCUCUUCCCUAGGAACAUCUCUGCUACUAUUUUUAGUCCUGUCCCAUAAGCCUUAGUCAUUUGACCCAGGCUCUCAGACUCGCUGCUGUGGAGGAUUUUUUUUCUGUUUUUGCAGUGUAGAUGGACCCACUGAAGCCUAUGACAAUAAGCAAAGCAUAAAGCUGUACAUAUGUGGGGAUGCCACUUAAAAUCUGCGUCUGCUUUGGCCAUCUUGUGAAGGCCAAGAAAUACUUGUUCAGCUGUGAUGAAGAAAUAAUUUGUCCAGAUGUCAGCCUGUGCAAGACAGUUUAGAUAACUGAAACGCCGUGUAUAAGAUGCCGGAGUGGCUCCUAAACCAGCUGAAAACUAUGAACAAGAAUAUAACUGAGCACUAGAGGCUAAGGAUGGCAGACAUUAUUGCCCUAACCUUCACUGAAAUCUAAUAAAUAGCCAAAGUAUUCCUCUUUGCCCAUUUGACACUAUUGUUUGGAAAAUCCCUGUUUAUCUGUGGCACAUUUUUAAAUUGGCUUGGUCCUAUGUUAUGUAUUUCUCAUGUACCAUUCCAGUGUUAUGAUAACAAGAAGAAUGCUACUGUAAUGUUUGAAGAAGUUAUGACUCUUAAACUGUCUGCAGACUGAAAAAUAAGUGAAAUGUUUUGACAGAGAAAAUAUGUGUUGUCAACUUUGUUUUAUCCAUGGCUGAGACAGGAAAUUGAAACUGUACUUUAGCAGGGUUCAGACAUUGAUGAGUAAAAUGAUCUUCUAGUAAACAAAUUAGUGCAAAAUUGGUGUUCUACUUUAUGCCUCAUUCUUCCCCCAUGAAAUGGCCAAUUAAAUGUAGAGCUCAUGUAUUUAAAAAGAAAUCUUUGAAAGGGUCUAAAGAAACAGCAUCAGUGACAGAAGCAAUCAUUUGCACUAAAUAAAAGGAAUAGAGUCUAAAAAACACAGUGUGACCUCUUUGUUAAUCUGAGGAGUGUGUUAUAAAAGGUCACCUAAAGAAUGUACAGUCUGAUUACUCUAUAUUACAAUUAGUCUCAGAGUCUUAUGC